GACAGGUGUGAGACCUUCCUGCUGCUGCUGGCGCUGAAGGUGAGGUACCCAGACCGGAUCACGCUGAUCAGGGGCAAUCACGAGUCCCGGCAGAUCACGCAGGUGUGGCACAGGUGUGGCACAGGCGGUGCCAGGGAUGGUUUAUCGGUGUUAUACCACACUCAGGUGUGUUCCCUGUGCCCAGGUGAGGUACCCAGACCGGAUCACGCUGAUCAGGGGUAACCACGAGUCCCGGCAGAUCACACAGGUGUGGCACAGGUGUGGCACACACAGUGUAGGUGAUGCCAGGGAUGGUUUAUCGGUGUUAUACCACACUCAGGUGUGUUCCCUGUGCCCAGGUGAGGUACCCAGACCGGAUCAUGCUGAUUAGGGGUAACCACGAGUCCCGGCAGAUCACGCAGGUGUGGCACAGGUGGUGCCAGGGGUGGUUUAUCGGUGUUAUACCACACUCAGGUGUGUCACACA